GGCAAGGAAGGUCAUAUGCCAAGGUCAUGGAAUUAGCCCCAGGAAUUUAUGUUACUAUAUUGCUGCCAAACUUAUAUGAGACUUAGACAUUUGGCUAUUGUUGGGUAUUAGAAUCUAGUAUGGAGCCAGCAAGAUGGGUAAAAGCACUUGCUGUCAGGGCUGACCUGAGCCUGAGUCCCAAAGCUGUGUGCUGAAAGGAGAGACGUACCUGCCAGAAGAUGUGGGUGGUCCUCCACCAGGAGGGGGCUGGGCGGGGAAGAAAGGGAAAGUAAAAAAAAAAAAAAAAAGUAAGGAUUUUUCAGCUACUCAGAAGCCCUUAAGAAUUAACCAGAAGGCUUAGCCACUGUCCAGCCCAGAACUAUAAAAUGAGAAGGUCACUAUACUUUCCUCACAAAAGACACCUCAGGAAAGGUGCACUAUAGUUAAAAUGCAGAUUACGAUUCUUUUUGACGUGCUAGACAUCAUAUUCUCUGGGCCUUGUAGACACUAGGCAGCUGCUCUACCAUUGAGCUGUAACCCUGGUUCUCAAAUGAUAAGUACCCAAAGGGAAGCAUCCACAAACUGUAUGAAAUAGUUGAGGAGACAGUCCUGGAUUCCUUGGUCUAAAGAAUCAGCCAAAGAAUUUCUCUUCAGUGGGAAGCCACUUACCACAUUAUGAAGGUGAAUGGAAGUCAAGGCUCUGUUUAUGAAAGAGAGAUGUUCAGAGGCAGAGGUGUGGCAGCUGGUGUUUGUCCUGGGAGAAAUGAUUACUGUGAAUCUGUGUGGACUGAGGAAGGUUGAUUUAGGCGAGGGAGGCCAGGUCCACGCAGUGAAGCGUUUCUGUGGUAGCUGGAGGUUUUUGCUUUGACUCUGAUGGCUAGGCCUGCCUGCUCACUGUCUGGAAUGAUGUGGUCAGAAUGUUGCUAGAAUUCAGUGGUGCCUCAGCAGAGUUAGAAAGGGUUCUAGCAGCCAGAAGUUAGCAUCCAGCAGAUACUUCUCUGUUGGUGCUGUGGAGACCUGGACCUUGGGUGAAGAGAAAGGAAGAGAGACUCGAGAGUCUCAGAUUGUUCUAGGGUUUCCAGACUAGAAGUGUAUGUAUGGAGUGGUUAAGUGGAUAAGAGGAACAAGGGAGAAGAGUCUGAGAAUGAAAGAGAAGCUUAGUGUAAACAUAUUUCAGUUGGGGUCAAGUGCAGGAAGGGGGCCAGUCAAAGGCAUGACUCAAGUGGGUGGGGGCUCAGCACUGAAGAGAAUCCCGGCCCCACAGAGUUUAAGUGUAGGGACGCACAGUGCUGCCGUCAACCUCUCUGUACCUCUGUUUCGUAAGUUUUGUCUUGACGGCCAUGGUUCUGAGAAGAGAUCCAUGAACUUGGAGGCUACACAAGGCCUGGGAUCUGAUAAAAUCAGAAAUGUCUGGCUCAGAGAGAAUGGGGCUGGAGAGGAUGUCACCAGGUACAGGGUCCUAGGUCCAGGGCCACCAAGGCCCCCAGGUAUCGGUCCCUUGAAGGCAAAGCGUGAUGGUGGCCAGGAGUUUCUGGGAGGCCAUGUCUCUUUUUGAGGUAUGGCCUCCCCAUUCCUGGGUCAGGCUUAUGGUGAGCUCUGUGGCUGGCCUACUUCCUUCCUCACCAGCUUGAGGUCUUCUAGAUCCUUCUGUCCAGACAAGGCAACAUGAAAUUACUGCUUUACCUGAAGCCUCUGCCCUCUGAAAACAGGAAAAAAAGAUUAUUUUUC
rnacentral:lncRNA from 1 species